rnacentral:rRNA from 1 species
UACAGAGGUCCCAAGCGUUGUUCGGAUUCAUUGGGCGUAAAGGGUGCGUAGGCGGCGCGGUAAGUCGGGUGUGAAAUCUCGGAGCUUAACUCCGAAACUGCAUUCGAUACUGCCGUGCUUGAGGACUGGAGAGGAGACUGGAAUUUACGGUGUAGCGGUGAAAUGCGUAGAUAUCGUAAGGAAGACCAGUGGCGAAGGCGGGUCUCUGGACAAUUCCUGACGCUGAGGCACGAAGGCCAGGGGAGCAAACGGG